CUCCUGCCCGCCGUUCCCGAGUGUCCCUCCCAGCCGCCCCGCUCGGAGCGCGCAGACAAGGACUGAUCGACUUGCAAGUCCAAUCAAUGAGAACUCAGAGGCUUCAGCAUCUUUUCUGUCGAACAACUUUGGCCCAAAAUCUGCAAGACACCCAAGUAUUGAGUUCAUCACCGCAUGCGCUGCCACAGCCUUUUAAAGAGUAUCCUUCACAGCCAGAGUGAAAAGGCUACUAAAUGGGUCAGGAUUACCCAUUGGUAAACAAAACGAAGCAUUUCAAGUUUACUUUAGAAUUUAAAUAAAGAAGAAAUUUCAAAGCA